rnacentral:rRNA from 1 species
CCCUUAGAUGUUCUGGGCUGCACGCGCGCUACACUGAUACGCUCAACGAGUUUACGACCUUGCCCGGAAGGGUUGGGUAAUCUUUUUAAAACGCAUCGUGAUGGGGAUAGAUUAUUGCAAUUAUUAAUCUUUAACGAGGAAUUCCUAGUAAGCGCGAGUCAUCAGCUCGUGCUGAUUACGUCCCUGCCCUUUGUACACACCGCCCGUCGCUACUACCGAUUGAACGGUUUAGUGAGGGCCUCGGAUUGGUCUCGGCCCGCUCUUUACCGGGCGGCGCCGUUGGUCGAGAAGACGCUCGAACUUGAUCGUUUAGAGGAAGUAAAAGUCGUAACA